GGUAAAGUGGCCGAGUGCUAGGCAGUAGGCUGUAGUCCUACCCACAUGGGUUUAAUUCCUCUCUUUAUC
rnacentral:tRNA from 1 species